UUCAUAGACAAAGCAGUAAAGGGGGUGCACGAGGCGGAACGGGUUCACAAAGGGAUGUUAGAAAGGAACCAUCUAAAGUGGAAUCACGACCAAAGCUCAUCCC